CACAAAGACAUGGACUGUAUGUGGUUACUUCAACUGCUACGACCGUCUUUGCAAAGAGACACUCGUCUCACACACGGCGCCCUCGCUUCACCCCCUUUAUCUACUUUUCACAGAGGCACCACUUCCUUUUCCUUCUGCAGACGGAGAAAAGACGACUGCGUCACACCCAUGCGAUCAUUUUCCCCCGGGGGGGGGAUCUCUCGUGCGUCUGCAGGCAGCGCGGAUUUGGUUACGGCGACGCCACCGGACACCGAUUCAAAUCUCGUCGGACGCACAGAGCAGAUGAUGAUGACGGGCACUCGAUGUGACCUUUGUGAAUGGGAGGAUGUGUAGGAGAAAGAGGGAGGAGAGAAGAUAUGCUCAGCAGAGUUGGUUGCUGUAUGGACGACUGCAGCGACAUGAAGGAAAUGCUAAGUGGACAAAGCUGGGCCAGAUCAGCGCAGAUGGACGUAACCCGACAGGACGCAUAUAAACCAAAGAAUAAAGAGGGGACAGAAGAAGAAAAAAAAAGCAGGAGUGAGAAAGCAGGACGAAGGCGGAGGGGGAGAAAAAAAAAGCCUGCGCUCAAAUGGAUGGAAACCACCAACAGAGCGGCGCUUGUGCCGCUGACACCGCAGCACUCCCCGACACGUUGUCAUUAGUGGCCCUGACCCUUGAACCCUGCCCAACCCCCCAUCAAACACUUAAGAGCCUCCACGUUUCCCCUGCCUCAAAUUAACAACAUCCAACACCCUUGAUUAUGACCGGGGCCAAUAUUUGAUCCGCGGGAGGAAGCACAGGAUCGUCUUGCUGCUUUUAUCAGCGCGAGAGGGGAAAUGAACCAUCGCCGAGGUGACGGGUGAUAAAACACACGGCCGGCUAAUAACCCGAGUCAUUCGGAGCAGAAGAUCACUAACAAAGCUGCGUUCUUUCAGACAUCCAAUAUUAAAUAUUUCAGGAAGUAAAAUACACUCAAAGGAAUUCAUGAAUGUAUAAAAAAAAAUGUAUGGAUAAAAACUGGUUGAGAAAUUAAAAAAAAAAAGUUGAAAAUGUUGCGCACUAAACCUUCACCAAAGUGUACAGCAUUAACAUGCAGUUUAAAGUUGAAAGAAAAACAGUGUAUUUGUCUUACUUUAAGUUGUAAUGGAGAAAUAAACAUUGAACAUUGUUUCAAA